rnacentral:lncRNA from 1 species
UAAAGUGAUAUAAUUUAAUUGGCUAACACCGGUGUCCAAAAUUUAUAGAAGAGUGAUGAUCCUUCUGAAAUAUUGGGAGUGAACAACGAAUGGAAAAGUUUGUGCUACUGCCAAAAUCACCAUGACGUGUUUCUAAAGCUUUCUUCAUUGUAUUUAGACAAAGACAUCUGCUACAGCUUACAGGGUCGGUGCUAUUGUGUCAUUAUUACAUUAUCUACAAAAUCUGAUUUGAAUAUGAUACAUGUGAUGGAAAUAUUUUCCUUCAAAGAAUACUCUAUUCCAACUCCUUUAGAAAAUCAACAUUAUCUACAAAAACUGACUU